CCGACCAUAGCUUAGUUGGUAGAGCACAAGACUGUAAAGGAUAACUUAUGUAAUCUUGGGAUCGCCUGUUCGAGUCAGGCUGGUCGGA
rnacentral:tRNA from 3 species